UACGAAGGGGGCUAGCGUUGCUCGGAUUCACUGGGCGUAAAGGGUGCGUAGGCGGUCGGGUAAGUCUGAUGUGAAAUCUCACAGCUUAACUGUGAAACUGCAUUGGAUACUAUCCGGCUCGAGGAAUGGAGGGGAGACUGGAAUACUUGGUGUAGCAGUGAAAUGCGUAGAUAUCAAGUGGAACACCAGUGGCGAAGGCGAGUCUCUAGACAUUUCCUGACGCUGAGGCACGAAAGCCAGGGGAGCAAACGGG
rnacentral:rRNA from 1 species